rnacentral:tRNA from 1 species
UUUUAGUAGUUUAUUAAAAAUAUUAGUUUGUGGGACUAAAGAGGCUUAGUGUCUAAAAUAA